AUUGAACGCUGGCGGCAUGCUUUACACAUGCAAGUCGAACGGCAGCGCGGGCUUCGGCCUGGCGGCGAGUGGCGAACGGGUGAGUAAUGCAUCGGAACGUGCCCAGUAGUGGGGGAUAGCCCGGCGAAAGCCGGAUUAAUACCGCAUACGACCUGAGGGUGAAGGGGGGGACCGAAAGGCCCCCCGCCUUUGGGGCGGCCGAUGUCGGAUUAGCUAGUUGGUGGGGUAAAGGCUUACCAAGGCGACGAUCCGUAGCUGGUCUGAGAGGACGACCAGCCACACUGGGACUGAGACACGGCCCAGACUCCUACGGGAGGCAGCAGUGGGGAAUUUUGGACAAUGGGGGCAACCCUGAUCCAGCCAUGCCGCGUGCGGGAAGAAGGCCUUCGGGUUGUAAACCGCUUUUGUUCGGGAAGAAAUCCUCUGGGCUAAUACCCCGGGGGGAUGACGGUACCGGAAGAAUAAGCACCGGCUAACUACGUG
rnacentral:rRNA from 1 species